AGGCUUUGGAGGGCAGCAGAGAGCUUGGACAUCUCACAGGAUUUGGAAAUUCAUCAAACGACCUGAAAGCUGAGCUGCAGAAAACAAAAGUUCUGAGUAAGUGGAUCUGUCCCCAUUCUUCUAAGGUUGACAUUACUCAAACCAGUAAAUACAUUAGGUCCCAGGCUUCUCCUGAGAGCCUGACAAAAACAGGGUCCUUAACCCUUCCAGGUAGGUCACUCACCUCUUACAGGAGCAGGGUCCUUAACCCUUUCAGGUAAGUCACUCACCUCUUACAGGAGCAGGGUCCUUAACCCUUCCAGGUGAGUUACUCAACUCCUACUGGAGCAGGGUCCUUAACCCUUCCAGGUAAGUUACUCAACUCCUACAUGAGCAGGGUCCUUAACCCUUCCAGGUGAGUUACUCAACUCCUACAGGAGCAGGGUCCUUAACCUUCCAGGUGAGUUACUCAACUCCUACAGGAGCAGGGUCCUUAACCCUUCCAGGUGAGUUACUCAACUGUUACCCACCUCUUAGAACUGUAACACAUGGAGUGGCCCUUGAGUAAAUGAUCCUAAUUAUUGUUGUGGCACAUUACAGGAAAUCUAUAAUCACAGCUCUGUAUAAUCCCAUUUCAAUUAAAAUGUAAUUGUGUGUAAGUUGUAUUUUUUUGUUUUGUAUUGUUUUUACCCAUAGUUAAAACGUUUUGAAAAUAUAGUUUUUCCUUACAGACGGUGGGGGGGAACAUUUUCUGUGAGCACUUUUAGCAAUGUUUCCCUUAGCUAGUACUCAGGAAGUGCUCUGUAUAGUAUGUGCAAGAAAAUGGCUUCCCCGGACAGUUGGAAAACAGCAGUGUGGUUCUACAUCAAUUCAUUUUUUUUUUUAAAUUAAAUAAGCUUUAUUAACUAAAUAAGUUAUUCAGUGAUCUAAAAAUCUGAAUAUUUCUCUGUGCAUUUCAGCAAUGUUUAAUUUGCCAAACAUUUGCUUCAAUUUCAUUUUCAGGUACUGAUUUAUAGUUUAAGUAAGAGUUGCCAAUGAGUGUCAAUGCUUCUAAGCUUUGCAGCUUACCUUCAGCAUAGAGAAAGUAUUCAGGGAAGCGAAGAAGAAAUGUUUGUUUUUGCUCAUUCGCAUUGUAUGCCCUGGCCGUGCCAGGAUAUUUCAUCAUUUAGUACAUUUUUAUUCUAACAUAAAAAAGGUUACCACAAAUGCUAGGUGAUUCCCACUGUUUAAUUCAGUUGUGUUCUUGCCAGAGAAGUGAUGGCACUCAUUUUAAGCCUGGUUUUAGUUCAAUAAAUCUUCUGUAGCAUUACAAAUAAAAAGUUAAAAAUGUUUUUGGAAAGUGAUUCCACAAUAAAAGAUUUCAGCUGAAAGGCCAAAAAUAAUAUUCGUUUAUAUGCAGAUGCUUGAUUGUAAUUUAUUAUAAUUGCACCCAUUUUCUUUACAUUUCAGACUUACACCUUUUAUAAAAUGCUUCCCAAACGCAUUUUUCUUCUCCCCACAAAUGUUAUAAUUUUAUAAUGUUUUGUUAGUCUACCUCCAGAAUAGAAGUUUGCUAAUACUUUUCAGAAUGAAUGGAACGUUAACACAAAGGCCUUUCUAAAUACUCUAUAAGGCUGUGUCAUGUCUGUUUCUAUGUGAUACUCCACAGUGCAGGAGAGCGCAAGAAAACUUGUCAAUGUGUCACAUUGAUAGUUUGUCCUCAGUGUAUUUAGAAGUUUCUCUCGUAACUUGUAAAUGCCCAUUACAGAAUAGUUUCUGGACAACUGUGAAUAGGAUCAUGAACUUUCACUUUUCUUAAUAUUACAUCAUUGAAUAGAACUUAGAAAAUCACCUGUUAAUGCUUUUUCAUGUGACGCUCUGUUUUCUUUUAAACUCAUAUUAAAGAUUUAGCAAAUCCCGAUCAUUCCAUGCCCAGCCUCUGUGCUGACUGUCCGCUGCUGCGCUUUCAAAAGGACACCGCUUAUAACUAUGAUUUCAUUUUAUUUUUUACACCUCACAAAUGCCUAUUUGUUAAAUAUAAAAUUAUAUAAAUAUUAAAAUUCCGGGUACAAGUUCUGCCAAAAUCCUUACAAAUGAGCGGUUAUUCAACUUUUUUGUUUGACUGUUUAAUAAAUAAAUCUUCUCUCCUCUGUGGCUAGUGAUGGAUAUAGGUAUUAAAAAAAAAAAAAAAAUAUGCUUGUGUGAGAGAAAAAUCUUAGUGCAACAUGUGUUGUGCACCUCCGAGUCCCUUUGUUAUGCAGGUGUUAGAUCAGGGAUGCCCAAAAGGUAGAUCCUCAGAUGUUGUAGAACUAGAACUCCCAUAAUGCUCUGCAUGUUUUUAGAAUGACAAAGCAUCAUGGAAGCUGCAGUUUGAAAACAUCUGGGGAUCUACUUAUUGGGCACCCCUGUGUUAGAGGAUCACAUCCAAAUAACGAACAUGUUGUUCAGUGUGACCGCUGACCUGUGUGGGAAAAUUCUUUGGGUUGCCCUAUUCUUGAUAAAGUGAAGAGGCAAUUAGGUGCAAGACUAGUUGGUCCAUAGGUGAUAAAAUGGACAGAGAAGUCACAGAUGGGCUUCUUUUGUACAAUAUGAUUCACCUAAGCACCAUACACAAGGAAUCAGCUGAUGUCUUUAGUCGGGGCGCUCUUUGAAAUGACAUGACCAUAUAAUCUGUACCUGCUUAUUCCCAAUAUAUGCUCCAAUAGCUGACAUGGAUAAUUUUGGAUAUACAUUUUGCAGUAUAGUUGUCAGGCAGCACACACCACAGUUUAGAGAAUAAGCCCCUAUGAAUGCAAUGAUUUUGUUGAUUUCAUUCACCCAUUGACUCAAACCCCAGAACUGACCUGACAUUUUCUAUUCUUUUCUAGUAUCUGAAGCAAGAAAAAAGAAGCAAAAGAUUUGUUAAAGGUAACAAUGACAGUGAUUUCGGCUUGUUAACUUUAAUGUAUUUUGGAGGGGGAAAGCUAAUUCUUUCAAUUGGACCUCUACCUUAAUUAAGCAGGAGGCUGUGAAAAGAGAACAUGGAAUUUUGAGCUACCUACGUCACAUGUGGUUAUAACUAGCCCCUGGCACACAAGCAGAAAUACUGCACAUAUAGAUUCCCACCACCAUGACCACUUCUAAUCACACAAGAAUAGAGGCAGCUGGAAAAAUUAUAAAGCUCACAGGGGUGACAUCGCAUUAAAUGGCGGAUCUCUUUGGAAUCCAAUGGGUGAUACUUUUUGAGCCUCUUCCCUGUAGAAUUGUUAGGAAAUCGCUUGCCCUGGUGGAGCGAAGGACUCACAGGGUUGUUCACUAAAAUGAGAAUUCAAAGUGAAUUUCAAAUUUAAGGUCAAUAUAGCUGAAUUGGAAAACAUUUUCCAAGCCAGCAAUGCUUCUGGUUCAGCUAUUUUGCCCUUAAAUGUGAAACUUGGAAUACUCACUUGUAUUGUGUACCACAGUAAGAUAAAGGCUUGUUAGGUUUCUUUGAGAAUUGUUACAUUAGUGCUAAAGCAUGUAGCAGUUGGAAACACUGUCCGGCUUAUUCACCAAAUUAGAAAUUCACUGGCAGGGUUAUUUACUAAAACCAAAACUGCUAGGAGUUCACAAAUUACACCUAAAUAGCAAACUUCUUAAAGUCAAUUCUGCCUCCUGCUGUUUGGCUUUAAAUUUAGAAUUCACUUUGAAUUAUUGGCAAUUCUCACUUCAACUAAUCACCCUGUAGCAAAGUUCUAUUUCUAGGCUAAAAUUGCUGAAAUUGAACAUUUCCUGCCUCCUCACAGUUUGGUGAAUAACAGUGUAUGUAAAAAAAAAAAUAGAUUUAUUAAAUAAUAUACAUGUCCACGAAGAGGGCCACAAUGUCCGUGUUUACAGAUGGUAAAAUACACUCCAUUUUCCUAAGCUGCUAAUCGUUAAGGUUGCUGGUGCUGAAAACGUUUUAACAGACAGAAUGCUCCCUGAUAUGUAACACUUAGAAUGUUAAAAAAAAAAAAAAUGGACCUCACAGGCUUCCUUUAUACGUCAUGCAUGGGUCUAUAUACUGUACCUUAAACACCAAAUUGUAACUUGUCUUUCCCUCCCCACCCCCCAAUCCCAAAAUCAGCACUUUUUAGUUACAUUUUGUGAUUUGGAUUUUAGUUCCAUACAGUUUGGUGUUUAGUGUAUUAACCCCUUGGUCUCUGGUAAGGAGCUUUGACAGUAUUUUAGUGAAGUGCUUUUAAUAUGACUUUAAGCAGCAGCAGCAUACCAUAGUAUGACUUCCUUUAAUUACUUUUAGUUUGUAUGUGUCUUGUUCAUUGUAUCCUUGCAGAUAACUAGUAUCAGUGGUGAUUGUGAGGUUUUCUCUUGCCCUGUUUAACUAUGUAAACUUUACCUACCGUGCUUUGCCCUGUCUCAAGGUGUUGUGCCUGCAGAGAUUGGGCUUGAAAAGCUCUGUUCUGGCUUCCUGCUGUGACAAUCAAUUCUCUUGUGUUUCAGGUCACUGCUACUUCCUGCAUAAGCUCUGCACAUGUUGAGAAAGGUUUUCAUUGAGCUAAACCCGUAUGCGCAUUACAGGGGCUGCAAGGAACUGCUCGGGAAUGUGUGAUUUACCAGCAGUUUAGAUGGAGUUAUAUCCUGCUUCGAAGACAAGUGCACAGCAUCCAUCACGGCCCUUCGCUGGCUUAACCUUGCCCAGAGAAGUGGCAGACAGAAGUAUUUAGUAUCAGAUCCCUUUGUCAGCAGUGGAGGGCAGCCACGGGCUUGUUGUACAAAACUUAUGGAAAAGAAAUUUGGAGACAACUGGGAACUUCUGUUGAUUCCAGCACUUUAACACAAAAUUCAAUAUUUAUUUCCGCUGGCUAGAUUUUCAAAAGGCAAAAUUUAUGUCUCUUGUUUUGUUGGGGAAUGAGUGAUUCUUGGGGCCAAUUUUAGCUGCACAUUGCAAAACAUUUCAUGUCCAAUAAUCCACUGCUGUGAGUCCAGCACCUUAAAAUUACAUAAUAAAUUCACAUUACUAAACAAUUAAUUAUCCGUGAUUUCAGCCAGGCUAAGUAGGGAGACAUGCUGAGCAAUUAAAUAGGAACUUUCUGUCUAGAUUAUUUUUAGUGUAUGUAUCCCAGUGCACAUUGUCCAUGUGUAUAUUUAUCAUACCAAGCACAAGUUAUUGUAAAUUCAGACUGGCUUUUAACUGCAAAGGUUUGUUUUCGCAAUGUUAGGGUAUUUUUUUUUUUUUUCUUCAUUUAUUUUUUUUAAUCUGUUUGCAUAUUUACGAUAUAUAAAAUAAUUGAAAAUUGUCGGUUAUUUUGAGGACUGUUAGAGGAUACUUAUCAGUGUUUUAAAAGUUAUUAAAUCCUCCCAUUAUUUUGAUCAUGUUUAUUAAAUUGAUCUAAAAAGUGCCAGUUUUCUUUAUGGUAAAUUGUGCCGGUUUCAAUAGAAACUCCCAUUUCAGAACGCUGCAAAAUCUUGGGGAAAAUAAGUGAAAUGGAAUCUUUUUUUUUUUUUUUGUCUAAAAUUUGGUGGGAAAAUUGAUAAAUCUGUUUUGUUGCCGAAAAAAUAGUGUACGUUCAAAAAUGACUGUUAGGGUGCAAAUGAAGCAACAGAUGAGAACAUCUGACAGUUAAUACUUAUGCAAAAAUUUUUGAAAAUUAGCCUUUAACGUGUCAGAUACAUUUUGAAAAGCUCUUCCCCAUUGUGCUUCUUAAAUGUUCAUGCUUUCUUUAUGGUGAUUUAUGUAUUCCUAUGAUUUCUGUAGUUCCUGCAAGUUUUGUUCCAUUGGGAAGCUUAGGCCACGUUGGUUUUAAAAGGGAAUUGUUACUUUAAAGGAUUGGUAAUGUUAUUAUAUACAGUGGGACCUCGGUUUACGAAUUUAAUGCGUUCUCCGGGACGUUUCUUAUUGCGAACAAUUUGUAAACCAAGACGCGGUUUCCCAUAGGAAUGCAUUGAAAACCAAUUAAUCCGUUCUGGAGGUCGGAAAAAAAGUCAAAAUGAGCUGGCAUGGAAACCAACCCACAAUGCAGAACACACAAUAAAAUGCAUGCAAACGAUGAAGCUCAGCUCCCUACCUUUCCACAGCUUGAGAAAUGCACCAAAAAGUCCCAAAACAACUGCAAACAAUUUCCAGAAUGGCUCCAAACGUCACUCCAACACCUCCACACUCGACGCCACAUUCUAUCCACAGGCUCCAGCAUGCAGGGGGCGGUGCUAUAAACCUCCCAGGUGCAAUGCAUCCUGGGGAAACUUGCUUUGUAUUGCGAAAAAAAUUUGUAAACCGAGGCAUUAUUUUCAAUGGAUUUUCAUUUGUAAACCGAAAAUUAUGUUUACCGAGGCGUUUGUAAACCGAGGUCUCACUGUAUUUAUGAAAAAUAAAAUUUGAUGUAGAAAUGUACACUUUAUCCUGAAACUGGCUCCAUCGUAGCCAUGCCAGAUCUGAUUGUAAAGUAAUUAAUUUGAAUAUUUAAAGGAAAAUAGGGCAUCACAUGAGAAAAAAAAGUUAGUGCAAAAUUAAUGUUUUACUAAAUGCUGUAAUUCCUGGUAUGUGGUUUGUAAAAUAAAAAAAGUAGCUAGAUAUUUAGGUCAGUAUUUCUGAUUCUAAGUUUUCACUGGGACCAAAUAUCACCUUUUGUAAAAUAAAUGCUAGCCUUAUUUCUUUAUAUUACUUUAUAAUGUUUUACCGAACCAAGUACCAUAUAUUUAUUACUGUCCUCAAAUGUACUUUUAUAUACUAUAUCCAAAAUAUUUUAUUCAUCAAAGACUUGUCCUGUGAUUUUACUUUUUUUCCUAAUUAAAUUCUUUCUCCUCGUUUGGUAAUAUGUUAUUGUUUUAAAUGAUUAAUGUUAAUAUUACUGAAUUUUUUUUUAAACCUUAAUUCCAUCGCAGAUGGUCUGGAGUCCCAUGCCAUUGUACUUCAAUUCAGUAUUAAACAGUUUAUACUGUUUUCGUGCUAAACAGUUUCUGGGAGCUCAUCCCUUCUGUGCUUCUUGGGCGAAUGAGGUGGCAUUAGCCUGGGCAGCUGUGAUUGGCUGAUAGUGCCAACCUAUUAUAGUGCACAUUGCAGGAAUGUACCAGUAUGACUUGAACGAAGUUUGUAAUCUCUGCCUUAGUAAUACCUAAAGUAGAGGCGGGCUGUGAGUGGCUAGGAACCCUUAUUCAGUGUUUAAACUUCUCAAAAAUGGUUUAACACUGAAUGGAGGGUCUGCGCCAGGGGACUCUGAACACUAUAACCAAUUCAUUAAGAUGAAAUGGUGAUAGUGCCUACAGUGUCCCUUUAAGUUUAAUAUUUUCUUUUUAGUAAUUUUGUAUUGCUUGUAUUAUGUUUAUCUUGUGAUACAACUUUUCAUUUCCU
rnacentral:lncRNA from 1 species